GGCUGGUCCGAGUGCAGUGGUGUUUAUAACUAACUAAUUGAUCACAGCCAGUUACAGAUUGCUUUGUUCCUUCUCUACUGCCACUGCCUCACGUGACUAGCCUUAA
rnacentral:Y_RNA from 1 species